AAUGUGAAAACUAGAGAGAGAGAGAGUAAAAAUGAAAUUCGAACGGGAAAGAGAGUAAAAACCAGAGAGAGUCAGAAGCUUCGUCAUGCAUCUUCUUCGUCAUGUUCGUCUUCUCCCGAAUUUGACCCAAGCUGUCUCCAAGGGUCUGCAUCUUUCGUGCGAGAGCGAAACCAGAGACUGGGAGUGGAUCUUCUCUGUCGUGGGUAUCUCUGAGGUCUGCGUUCAUGCUGGAUGGUGAUAAUGUAGAAGCCACAUUGAGAUACUCAAAUACUACAAGAAAUCCAGGAUGACCCUUCUUAGGGUGUCCAAAGUACAACACAGAGGGAUUGCCGUAUUGUAAGUAUUUCAAGAGGGUAGAUAGUAAUCAAGAGAUUGAGCUCCAAAUUCGAGAAAGAAAUAAUGAACUAUUAAGGAAGGAGAAAGAGCUCGAGAAAAUACUCAACAAUGUGGAAAAGAUGAAGACCGAGCUCUGUAAGAGAGUAGAUGAAAUCGAAAAGAGAGAGAUGGUGGUAUCCAAUAGAGAGAUGGUGCUUCUGGAACAAGAAGCUGGAAUAAGGCAUUCUUCACACACACUACUUCGGGCGUAUUGGACUUUUUCAUUUGUAGUUGCAUGUGACUUGGUAGUAUCUAAGUAAUUGCUGCCUAGUGUUAGUAUCUGAAUAUUGGACUUUGUACUUGAUGUAGUAAGUUCUUAGAUUAUUCCCAAAGUUGGCGCUAACUUGUAAAAUAUUUUGUAUUGGGAUUAUAUAUGUUGUAUAUGCUAUGCUCGGAUAGUUUAAAACAUCAAAUGUGAGACCUUCAUUUUUGACUUAAAC